CAGGUUUGCACGGCACUCAUCAGUGAACAGGACUGUUUGAAAAUUAGUCUUCAUGUAUUUUUCUGCCCAAUUCAGCCGUUUCUGCUUGUGAGCAUUGGUUAGUGGUGGCCGAAUAGGUUUAUGCACAGUUGCAAGACUCUGGAGGACUCUACACCUUGAGGUCCGUGGGACUCCAGAGGCACUAGCAGCUUCAGAUAUCUGUUUGCUGCUAUGUAAUGGUAUUUUAGCAGCUGCUCUCUUAAUCCAAUGCAUGGAUCUGGCAGAAAUCUUCCUCAAUGUGCCUUUAUCUGCACAAACCCGUCUGUGCUCUGAAUCAGCCACAAAUCUCUUAAUAGUGCGAUGAUCACGCUUACGUUUUCGUGAAAU